CGGCCCAGACUCCUACGGGAGGCAGCAGUGGGGAAUAUUGGACAAUGGGCGAAAGCCUGAUCCAGCCAUGCCGCGUGUGUGAAGAAGGCCUUUUGGUUGUAAAGCACUUUAAGCGAGGAGGAGGCUACCUAGAUUAAUACUCUGGGAUAGUGGACGUUACUCGCAGAAUAAGCACCGGCUAACUCUGUGCCAGCAGCCGCGGUAAUACAGAGGGUGCUAGCGUUAAUCGGAUUUACUGGGCGUAAAGCGUGCGUAGGCGGUUUGAUAAGUCGGUUGUGAAAGCCCCGGGCUCAACCUGGGAAUUGCGGCCGAUACUGUCAGACUAGAAAACGGUAGAGGGAGGCGGAACUCCAGGUGUAGCGGUGAAAUGCGUAGAUAUAGGAAGGAACACCAGUGGCGAAGGCGACCACCUGGACUGAUACUGACACUGAGGUGCGAAAGCGUGGG
rnacentral:rRNA from 15 species